CACGUAGGGCGCAAGCGUUGUCCGGAAUUAUUGGGCGUAAAGAGCUCGUAGGCGGUCUGUUGCGUCCGCUGUGAAAACUCGGGGCUUAACCCCGAGCCUGCAGUGGAUACGGGCAGACUAGAGGUAGGUAGGGGAGAAUGGAAUUCCCGGUGUAGCGGUGAAAUGCGCAGAUAUCGGGAGGAACGCCGGUGGCGAAGGCGGUUCUCUGGGCCUUACCUGACGCUGAGGCACGAAAGCGUGGGGAG
rnacentral:rRNA from 1 species